rnacentral:rRNA from 1 species
GUAGGUGAACCUGCGGAAGGAUCAUUACCACACCGAUCCAAGAUCAGUCUUCAUUGUGAAUUGUGCUAUCGCGGGCUUGGGUUUGUUUAACCCAUCCCGAC